AGUUUUCCAUAGAUUCACAAUACUGACUGCCCACCCAGCAGACCAAUAUUCCUCUUGAGUAUACUUCACAAAUUGUCUCCUCAUUUUCCUACAGCGCCCAUCUGCUGGGUGCCCUCAACACACUGUGAGAGGGUCUUGAAUUAAUCUUGAUGCAUCCUUUGCAGCAGCACACUGACCACAGCUGCAUUGCCUGCCAUCACCCACAGAUGACAGCAGCAACACACAAGGACAUCAGCAGAGUUUCUGGCUUCACCAUGGAGCAGCUGACCUGUUCCUUAGUUCUUUCAUCCAGUCACAAAAAGAAGAACAUUUCCAAGUGACCUUUGUCUCUUUAACAGGCUGCUUACUUUGUCUCAGCCACAGAUGGAUGACUGCAGUGGCCAUUUUUGGUUCCUCAAACCAUGUAUUUUCUUUGAGUUACUCUGAUGUAGUUCCUACAUGGACUGGAGGCUAGACACAUUCUUUGCAGGUGUUGGAGUGUCCCUGGCUGACACUGGUGAACCACACCUGUCUGUCUUGGAGGAAGGAAUGGGGAAUGCUUCUCU